CAGGUGUUGGGCUGAGCACAGGACACAAUCGGAGCUGGCUCAGGAAUCUCUGGGCCUGUAAGUAGGCCAGGGCUGUCUGGGUCUCAGACUCUCAGACACCCAGGCGCUGCUUGAUGCCUCAGAAGAGCUGAGAACAGAGUUGGGGUCCUCCGGCUGGACCUAGCCUGGGGCCAAGGGGGAAAAGAGGAGGGCUCUGGCUGGUCAGGCGAGGAGAGACUGGCUUGAUGGUGGGAAGCUUGGGUUGGCUUUGUGACGGCUGCAGCUGGCAGUAAAUGUAAUGAUCUGGAGUGCAGAGAGGCUUUCUUCAAGAGAUUAGACCACGACUCUGUAGGCGAAGGCCUUCUCUGUGGCUCCCCACUGCCCAAUGAAGAGGCAGUGCAUGGUUUUAAGGCAUUUAUUGUCAUGGUAGAAAGUGGAUGGGUAAAACCAUACCCCACUUCUCAAGGGAGAUCGUACAACUUCCGGUCCCGGAAGGGAGGAAACUGUUUGAUCUUCCAUCAGCAAGAACAUGGCAGAACCCAGUGUGUCCCCUGGGAGUUCCUCAGAGACUCAACUGUGUUCACAACCAGUCAGUGAGGCCACUGAUGAAGACCUAACUACAGGCCGGCUGGUGGUGCCCACAUGCACCCCCAAUGUCUGUGUGGAUGCUAUAGGAGUGUGCCAGCUGCCAGAGUGGCUGGUGAGACAAGCUGAUCCUGGGAGCAUGAAGAUUCAGCUCUCGUGGUUACAGUCCCUGGAGUCAUUCCUGUGCCCUUGGAAGAAGAUGGAGGUUUCCCCCUCAUCUUUUGUCAUAACAGAGAUUUUAUUGUUGCUGCAGUCACUGUUACUACUGCACGUGUCCCAUCCCACCACGGCCUGUGCUCCGACCCUCUGUGUACCGCUGCUUGCCGGAGAAGACUGGACUCCAGCCAUUACCCUUGCCUUUCCUCAUUCCCCUGGCAGCUGUUGCCCCUGACUGGCGUUGCCAUUUUGCAGUCUGUGGCUUCACAGGAAUGCCAUCUGCGUGAAGCUGCUGGAGACCGGGGAACUCAGCCCUGGUUGUGCGAAUCGCAGACAUGGUUCCAUUGCCUGCUGGUUGUUCCAGAGAAGAAUGGCCGAUCCUGAACUGUCCUGGGAAAGACUUUCAUAUUUUUGCCACUAUUGUAGCAGCCAUUGCUGCUGCAGCCACUGUGUCUGCAGUGUCUGGAGUUACCCUCCCCCAAUCUAUUGUUAGGCAAGCACAGUGGGUAAACUUUCUGGAGUAGUUGCAGAGGAUUGGGAACUCUAAAUUUUAAUACAGGAACGGCUUGACAAUGGCCCUCGGUGUUAUGGCCCUCUGAGUUUUGGCCCUAAGGCCCUUGUGCUACUUAUCACAUGCGCAAACAGCACUCCUAGUCCAGGGCAGCAACUAAGCAGGUGUUGUUCUCCUUGGUAAGAGACAAACCUUCUGCCCAAAUUGGGCUCAGCCUUCACGAGAAGCAGUUAGCUAAGGAUGGGCAACUCUUUGGGACUAGGCUUCGCCUAAGACAGGAAAUUCUGAGACUGGCAGAAUUUUCCAGAGACGAGAAAGAGGCUUGAUAUCUCAAAGUGUCCUAGGACAGGCGCUGCUUAAAAUUAAUAUAGGGGGACUUGCUUAAUAAAAAAAUAAAAUAGGGGGACUUGUCAGAGCCUCCUGGGUCCCCUGCAGUGCUUCACCCCCCCUUGUCAGACUCUUCUGGGUCCCUUGAAGAAUUUGACCUCUGCUGAGCCCUGCUGAUGCAUGUGGAAGCCUUUUUUUCCUAAGAAAGUAGCAGUCUGGCCCAGUAGCAACAUACCUGGGUGAUGGUCUUUUGUCUUCCCAGUCUUUUGUUUUUGAGAUUUAGGCUGGUCUUCCUGGAUUUCUCCUUAGUAAAUUGGGGACACAUGUUCGGUCUUGAGCCAGGGUUUCCCACUGUGCUUCCUAGAUUUUUCUACCUGGUCAACUUGGGGUAUAUAUUCGGAAAAUAAAGCUACAGAAUGGGCAUUCUUUCUUAACACGAAUAACCCGUGUGUGUGUGUGUGUGUGUGUGUGUGUGUGUGUGUGUGUGUGUGUGUGUGUUUUAGUCCCGCAGGCUUACGCCUGGCUCUUGGUGCCGUGUUGGUGUGGGCAUCGACAUGGAUUGGCAUGUAAUGAGGUAUUAGUAACCUUAGAGGGUUAGAACAGCCCAGAACCUGUUCAGCUUAUGGUUGCAGCCUGUUAAUAAACUUAAUAGGUCUUCAUGUCAUUAUUCGGGAACUAGAAUGGGAUCAGAUGAUGUCUACACUUAGGUAUGUAACAGAAUUUGUAAUUUCACUUCACAUUAACUAUUGCCAAUUUACUUCAUAGCACAAGGUAAUUAAACCUUCAGUGGGGAAACAGUAAAUCAAAAGUUUCUAUAGUAACU
rnacentral:lncRNA from 1 species